rnacentral:lncRNA from 1 species
CAGAACUAGAAUUGGAACAGAACACUUUUGGCCUCUGACCCACCCUGGGAGCCAGGCAAAGGAAGAAGAAGCUCCGACUCAGAGCUAUUUGCUUUAGAUAGGCAGGGACUUUGGAAAGUUCAUUCCCCAAGUCUUAGGAAGCCAACAUUUCAGGGCUGCUGAUAAUUUUGCAGGACGGAAGAAGGUCAGCUUUGCUCUUCUCCUGGGUUCUGGAACCAGACCUUCCUAACCUGUGCUGCUUACCUGGAGCCUCAGACCACUGUCACCCCUGCCCUCAUCUCCAGACUCUUCUUCCAGCAAGUCUAGAAGGGAGCAACUGUUUCACUGUCAUCAGUUUUCUCUGCCUCCUGCCCACAUCUUUGAAAACACUGCUUUUGAAGGCCUCCUUGAAUGAUCCUGCCUCCUGCUGAGGGUGUGACUGCCAGCCGUCUCCAGAACACGUUCUCCAUCAGUCCCCAGAGGGGAGCAUCCCCUCCAUCCUCAUCAGAGAGGUGGC